rnacentral:lncRNA from 12 species
CGUGUAAAAGCUGCACUUCAGAUGCUCAGACAAGUAGUCAGGAGUGUCCCUUCUUUUACAGGCAGCUGCUAAGACCUAGGAGGGAUGCUGUCUACCCUUGUUGCCACCAACGGAAGCAAAAAGAGGUGACUUCUCAAGCAAAAAAAGGAAAGGUAAGGGAAGGAAUUUCUUCAGUUAAGGAUUUCUCUGGAAGAAAUUGGAAGAAGCACAUUUCUACAACAGCUAAAUGAGCAAGAAACAAAAAAGAGCAACUACCAAUGUUUUAGCCAAGCUCAGCAGCAGCCCAUGUCUGGAUAGCUUGUUAUAAUUCAAGUGCAUGUUUUAAUAGAAGUAAAACCACAUUGGUUUGAAUGCACUGAAUACCAGUAAUUCCCAAACACAGCUUCCUGGCUGUGGGCAAACACCAGCCUUGGCUUGGACUCUGGUAUAACUGCAUUUGAUCAUCACACUCCAAUUCCUUUAUGACUGGACUUGCCCCCAUCCAUCCCAGGGUGUAGAACACAGCCUGGCUCCUCCCUAGGACCCCUGUCUUGUCUUGCUUGAUUGCACUGAGACAAAGGAAGCAUUCUGGAGUAGAAUCUGGGACAAAAUCUCUCCUUGCACCUUUAGAGCCACUAACUCCAGACCCAAUAGCUAUGCUGCAAGAGGGAAGGGUGAGAAAUAAACAACCUGACCUGUAGAUUAGACUGGAGUGCUGCCAGGGAAAACACUGGGAUGAGUACAGUCACAGCAUCUUGCUUAAAAGUUUUCCCUUUUGCAGGUCACUGAAAUCUGCUUUCUCCUGACCCUGCAGCUCUUAUGUCCUGCCUUUCUUGCACUUUCUGUAGUAGGUAUGUUAGUAAAAGCCCUGGAUAUAAAAGAAGUCCCCAGGUUGUG